rnacentral:lncRNA from 1 species
UCGGCACCCAAACACACUGUGAUCUCCUCACUCCCCUCAGCCCCCAAAUACACUGUGAUCUCCUCACUCCCCUCAGCAUCCAAACACACUGCGAUCUCCUCACUCCCCUCGGCACCCAAACACACUGUGAUCUCCUCACUCCCCUCGGCACCCAAACACACUGCGAUCUCCUCACUCCCCUCGCACCCAAACACACUGCGAUCUCCUCACUCCCCUCAGCACCCAAACUCACCGUGAUCUCCUCACUCCCCUCAUCAUCCAAACACACUGUGAUCUCCUCACAGCCCUCAGCACCCAAACCCACUGCGAUCUCCUCACUCCCCUCGGCAUCCAAACUCACCGUGAUCUCCUCACUCCCCUCCGCCCCCAAAUACACUGUGAUCUCCUCACUCCCCUCGGCAUCCAAACACACCAUGAUCUCCUCACUCCCCUCGGCAUCCAAACACACCAUGAUCUCCUCCUACAGGCUCUUUCUGCACUUGGCUUAAAGCCGCCCUCUCCCUUCUGUGGCCUCACUGGCCUCUCCUCCGUGCUGGGAGGGAGGCAGGGCCAGGAAUUGGGGGUGGCCUUCGGAUCCCCACACCCUGAGGUCUCCCAGGCUCCUAUUCUCCAGCCCCACUCACUGCAACUCACAGGCCCCUGGACACAGGACCUCCCGCCAUGGAGGGGACAGAGCUCUCCCAAGCCCAGCACUGGUGAAACUCAGUAUUUGCUCUCCCUCCCAAAACGACUUACACCUUUAGCAUAUUAAUAUAGAAAGUGACUGACAGGCUAAUGGAAUUUUUCUUUUCUUCCUUUAACUGAAGUUCGUCCAUUAAUUCAUGACGAACCUGUCAUAAAAUGGGACAGAUUAUUAAUCUGGAUUCAAACAAUUAGGUAGAGGUUCAGAUUUUGUGUCUAGAUUUUAUUUUCUCAUUAAUUAAGUUUUGUAUCUAGCUUUUCAGAUACAACUUAAGCCGAUUCCCCGUAUGUCAAAAUGGAUUGCUGAUGAAUGAAUGCUUUUGGUACAUAUUCUUGUAGUAAUUACUUGUAUCUUUGUGAAUUUUUUAUUAACUUUAAAAAAAUUCAAAGCUAUUACAAAGGAAAUAUUUAAAGAGCGACGAUAAAGGCAAAAGACCCUGUUUUGUUUUCUAAAUGUCACAGUUCUAUACAUCUUUGCAUUGGAUGAACUGCUAUUUCUUUUUAAUAUGCUUAUGUAUUUUUGUUCAUGUAUGUAUGCAUAUAGAUUUUUAUAUCUCUCAGCAAACUUAUGUAAUUUCUACGCAGUUUUCUGAACAAUGACUUUUAAGAAAAUUACUUCUUACGUCUCUAUUUCUAAUACGCUGAUUUACCAUAACAGAGAAUAUCUGCCGGUAUUUCUGCGGCACGUGAGACUUAAUGAACGGAGCUGCCGUGGAGCAGAACCUGGCAGCCUCCUCCUUUCUUCCGGCUUGCAGAUAACACUCCAGAAGUUCCCU